rnacentral:rRNA from 1 species
UACGUAGGGUGCAAGCGUUAAUCGGAAUUACUGGGCGUAAAGCGUGCGCAGGCGGUGAUGUAAGACAGGUGUGAAAUCCCCGGGCUUAACCUGGGAACUGCAUUGUGACUGCAUCGCUGGAGUGCGGCAGAGGGGGAUGGAAUUCCGCGUGUAGCAGUGAAAUGCGUAGAUAUGCGGAGGAACACCGAUGGCGAAGGCAAUCCC